ensembl:lncRNA
UGAGGAGCAAGUCUCACAAAAUGAUUUGCUACAGCUAAUAACCCAGCCCAAUUUUGUGGACCUGACCCAGGAGGACUGUGAAUGUGAUGUCCAAGCUGGUCCAAGCAACACUAUCCAUACCAGAAAUCCAGCACACAGCCCCUUGAGAAAGAAAAGAGCGAUCACUACAGUCAGUCCAGCACCGCGAGAGGAAUCACAUAAUAAUAGAACGUCAGAGGUUGACAGAUCCAACGUUGAUACCGGACCUGAGAUAUUUCAAGACGGCGAACCCAGCGUUGUGGACAAUGCUGCUGACUGGACCGAUACGCAAAUAAAUGCCUGGCAAAGGGCUGGUUGGUCGAGUGGCCGCAGUGAAGAUUCAUCACAGA